AGGACGAACGCUUGCGACGUGCCUAAGAAAUGCAAGUCGAACGGGGUCAUCCUUCGGGGUGGCCUAGUGGCGAACGGUCGCGUAACACGUGGGCAACCUGCCCUGAAGCGGGGGACAACACACCGAAAGGUGUGCUAAUACCGCAUGUGAAUCGUGGUGGCAUCACCGAGGAUUCAAAGCCGCAAGGCACUUCAGGAUGGGCCCGCGGCCUAUCAGCUAGUUGGUGAGGUAACGGCCCACCAAGGCUUCGACGGGUAGCUGGUCUGAGAGGACGAUCAGCCGGAUUGGGACUGAGAUACGGCCCAGACUCCUACGGGGGCAGCAAUUAGGAAUCUUGCGCAAUGGGCGAAAGCCUGACGCAGCGACGUCGCGUGAAGGAUGAAAUCUUUCGGGAUGUAAACUUCUUUUUCGGGAAGUAACAAUGACGGUACCGAAGAAUAAGCCCGGCUAACUACGUGCCAGCAGCCGC
rnacentral:rRNA from 1 species